CGGCAUUGCUAGGGGUCUGCCGCGAGGCAGUGAGAAACACCCUUCGAACCUGAUGCGGGUCAUGCCGCCGUAGGGAAGCAUGAUUCGAUGCUU
rnacentral:ncRNA from 2 species